rnacentral:rRNA from 1 species
AGUGAACGCUGGCGGUAGGCCUAACACAUGCAAGUCGAACGGCAGCACAGUAAGAGCUUGCUCUUACGGGUGGCGAGUGGCGGACGGUUGAGGAAUACAUCGGAAUCUACUUUUUCUUGGGUGAGAACGUAGGGAAACUUACGCUAAUACCGCAUACGACCUACGGGUGAAAGCAGGGGAUCUUCGGACCUUGCGCGAUUGAAUGAGCCGAUGUCGGAUUAGCUAGUUGGCGGGGUAAAGGCCCACCAAGGCGACGAUCCGUAGCUGGUCUGAGAGGAUGAUCAGCCACACUGGAACUGAGACACGGUCCAGACUCCUACGGGAGGCAGCAGUGGGGAAUAUUGGACAAUGGGCGCAAGCCUGAUCCAGCCAUACCGCGUGGGUGAAGAAGGCCUUCGGGUUGUAAAGCCCUUUUGUUGGGAAAGAAAAGCAGCAAGUUAAUACCCCGCUGUUCUGACGGUACCCACAGAAUAAGCACCGGCUAACUUCGUG